CGCCCCCUGUAACUAUAGGGGGUCCAGCCUGCCCAGUGAUUUUAUUCAACGGCCGCGGUAUUCUAACCGUGCAAAGGUAGCGUAAUCACUUGUUUUCUAAAUAAAGACCAGUAUGAAAGGCAUCACGAAGACUUAGCUGUCUCCUUUCUCUAAUCAGUGAACCUAAUCUCCCCGUGAAGAAGCGGGGAUCCUACUAUAAGACGAGAAGACCCUGUGGAGCUUAAAACAUUAUGACAACUGCCACCACCCUUAACCACCCCGAUGCUUCCCUCAGCGGCACCUUGAUCAUGUGUUUUUGGUUGGGGUGACCGCGGAGAAAAACCCAUCCUCCGCAAUGAAAGGGACUUCCCACCCUAAACGACAAGUUACAACUUCAUGUAUCAAAAAAUUGACAUUCAUUGACCCAAUAAAUUGAUUAACGAACCAAGUUACCCCAGGGAUAACAGCACAAUCCACUUUAAGAGCCCCUAUCGACAAGUGGGCUUAUGACCUCGAUGUUGGAUCGGGAUAUCCUAGUGGUGCAGCCGCUACUAAAGGUUCGUUUGUUCAACGAUUAAAAUCCC
rnacentral:rRNA from 1 species